GGCUUCAUCGUCUAACGGUUAGGACAUCGGGUUUUCAUCCCGGAAAUCGGAGUUCGAUUCUCCGUGGAGCUA
rnacentral:tRNA from 1 species